GCGACGCGGCGGCGGGCUACCCAUGCUUAUCGAACGGAUCCUUCGGGAUUGGUGGCGGACGGGUGAGUAACACGUGGGAACGUGCCCUUUGGUUCGGAACAACUCAGGGAAACUUGAGCUAAUACCGGAUGUGCCCUUCGGGGGAAAGAUUUAUCGCCAUUGGAGCGGCCCGCGUCUGAUUAGCUAGUUGGUGGGGUAAAGGCCCACCAAGGCGACAAUCAGUAGCUGGUCUGAGAGGAUGAUCAGCCACAUUGGGACUGAGACACGGCCCAAACUCCUACGGGAGGCAGCAGUGGGGAAUCUUGCGCAAUGGGCGAAAGCCUGACGCAGCCAUGCCGCGUGAAUGAUGAAGGUCUUAGGAUUGUAAAAUUCUUUCACCGGGGACGAUAAUGACGGUACCCGGAGAAGAAGCCCCGGCUAACUUCGUGCCAGCAGCCGCGGUAAUACGAAGGGGGCUAGCGUUGCUCGGAAUUACUGGGCGUAAAGGGAGCGUAGGCGGACUGUUAAGU
rnacentral:rRNA from 1 species